rnacentral:pre_miRNA from 1 species
AGUAGAAUUGCUGGGUCAUAUGGGAACUCUGUUUAAUUUUAGGAGGACUUGCCAGACAGUUUUCAAAACAGCAGCAUAUUACAUUCCUAUCAGCAAU